GGGACCCAGUUAUUCAGGGUCCCGAAGAGGCUUUCUACCUGUGGGCCAAAAUGGGGGUGAAGAGAAGAAGGAGACCAAGCAAAAGUUCUGUUGUCAAGGUCUCAUUUAUUGGGAUGAACAUUGCAGCUUUUAAGACUUUCAGGUAGGGGGAGUGACCUUUGUGAAAUAUGAAGGAGAGGGAGAUGAGGGUAUAGGCAGUGAUAGCUGGAGGCAAAGAAGUCAGGCGAUGAGGUCAGGUGGUGGAGACACUGGGUGUUGACUGAGGAGAUAACUGGUAUCUGCUCGAGCUGAGGCAUCCCUUGAAUGUUAUACUCCUGUGCCGUAAAUUCAUGGGAGAGGCUUUAUCCAACAAUCUUAAGAUUUAUGGCAGUCAUCUUCGGGGUGAGUCUCUGUGGCCAAACAGCCCAGAGUCACUUUGAACCAUGCAGUCAAAAAGCGGCUAGGCCCAAAUCCAAUAUGGCUCCGUGCAUCUCCCCCAUUUUUCUUUAAAAAAAAAAAAAACCAUUAGGUGGAAGUAGUGGUCUGAGAGAGAUCAGACAUGCCUCACAGAGUGCCCAGCUCGGCCAUGGCAAGCCACUCUUGCAGUUAGGACUGCACCCCAAUGGCUAGGAAUGAACUUAUGCUGUAACACACCGUUCUGGGCUAUACGUGUGUGUUAUUGGGGGAGAAACUGGGCAGAGGAGCAUUUGACCGGCCCGCACGUUUAAACGGGGUGUAGGCACCUCUGUCUUAGGAUCGACCUCUCAAACCCCAGCCUUAUCUGUCAUAGGAUCACCUUGUCGCCCCCAAGGUUCCUGUCUUAGAUUGGUCAAGGGUCAGAGGAAGUUGCCUGUCCCUGAGGAUAGCUACAUCAGGUCAUCUUCUCAUUCCUCUCACUUGAGCCCAGGGGCGAAAGAGCAAGGGCCAGAUGGCAUUAAUAUAAGAGAUUGUGGAAAUUGAGCCUCUCCCGAUAAGUUGUAGGCACCUCAUCUUGUUCGUUGUCUCUCUGGUUCUCCUCAGCUGUUCCGGUCUCCAAGUGAUGAUAAUGUACUGAAACAGAAUUUCUAGGCAAAGCAGAAUCUAUUUGUGAUUUAAUAAAGCGUGUAAGUCGUUGGAAGGCCCAAGGACCAAAGGAAAUCAACAAAAGUAGGCCCACAAGGGGUCCCAAAAUUGAGGGCAACAAGUUUAGGGAGCGAUCUCUGUGGGAUCCGGGACAGACAUAAAAGUCAGUUUCCCUAAUGUUGGUGCGUCGAUGGACAGUGUCACAACCGACAUAUCUUUCAUUAAAACUAGACCCAUGAGGGGCUUCAAUUAGGGGGGUGUUCCAAGGCGAAGUGGACUGUUCAAGGUGCCCUUGUAAUAAUUGUUCCUGCACCAACUGUAGGGCCGCUUGAACCUUUUCUUGAGGCAUGGACCACUGAUCGAUCCAGACUGGAUCAUUUGACUUCCAAGAUAUUUUAUCAGCCUGGAGUGCAGGAGGAACAGCGGUCUCUAUGAAAAAAGGUCAGGAGCUUUGAACUUUGGAGUGUAUCCUGUGUUUGACCUAUCCCUUUUAAAUGUGUGGCAGUAGCCUUAAGGGGCCAGGUUGAGGGCCAGUGUCUAGAGGAGAGCACUGUUGUAUCGCCCCUGUAUCUAAAAGGCCCUGAAAUUGUUUGCCAUCAAGCCAAAGAGACAUCAUGGGUCUUUCAUCAGUUAAUUUUUGCACCCAAUAAACAUCUGAAGAGCCAGG